UUGGAGGUAGAGCACUGUUUGGACGAGGGGCCCCUCUCGGGUUACCGAAUUCAGACAAACUCCGAAUGCCAAUUAAUUUAACUUGGGAGUCAGAACAUGGGUGAUAAGGUCCGUGUUCGAAAGGGAAACAGCCCAGACCACCAGCUAAGGUCCCAAAAUAUAUGUUAAGUGGAAAAGGAUGUGGCGUUGCCCAGACAACUAGGAUGUUGGCUUAGAAGCAGCCAUCAUUUAAAGAGUGCGUAAUAGCUCACUAGUCGAGUGACACUGCGCCGAAAAUGUACCGGGGCUAAACAUAUUACCGAAGCUGUGGAUUGUCCUUUGGACAAUGGUAGGAGAGCGUUCUAAGGGCGUUGAAGCAUGAUCGUAAGGACAUGUGGAGCGCUUAGAAGUGAGAAUGCCGGUGUGAGUAGCGAAAGACGGGUGAGAAUCCCGUCCACCGAUUGACUAAGGUUUCCAGAGGAAGGCUCGUCCGCUCUGGGUUAGUCGGGUCCUAAGCUGAGGCCGACAGGCGUAGGCGAUGGAUAACAGGUUGAUAUUCCUGUACCACCUAUAAUCGUUUUAAUCGAUGGGGGGACGCAGUAGGAUAGGCGAAGCGUGCGAUUGGAUUGCACGUCUAAGCAGUAAGGCUGAGUAUUAGGCAAAUCCGGUACUCGUUAAGGCUGAGCUGUGAUGGGGAGAAGACAUUGUGUCUUCGAGUCGUUGAUUUCACACUGCCGAGAAAAGCCUCUAGAUAGAAAAUAGGUGCCCGUACCGCAAACCGACACAGGUAGUCAAGAUGAGAAUUCUAAGGUGAGCGAGCGAACUCUCGUUAAGGAACUCGGCAAAAUGACCCCGUAACUUCGGGAGAAGGGGUGCUCUUUAGGGUUAACGCCCAGAAGAGCCGCAGUGAAUAGGCCCAAGCGACUGUUUAUCAAAAACACAGGUCUCUGCUAAACCGUAAGGUGAUGUAUAGGGGCUGACGCCUGCCCGGUGCUGGAAGGUUAAGAGGAGUGGUUAGCUUCUGCGAAGCUACGAAUCGAAGCCCCAGUAAACGGCGGCCGUAACUAUAACGGUCCUAAGGUAGCGAAAUUCCUUGUCGGGUAAGUUCCGACCCGCACGAAAGGCGUAACGAUUUGGGCACUGUCUCAACGAGAGACUCGGUGAAAUCAUAGUACCUGUGAAGAUGCAGGUUACCCGCGACAGGACGGAAAGACCCCGUGGAGCUUUACUGUAGCCUGAUAUUGAAAUUCGGCACAGCUUGUACAGGAUAGGUAGGAGCCUUUGAAACGUGAGCGCUAGCUUACGUGGAGGCGCUGGUGGGAUACUACCCUAGCUGUGUUGGCUUUCUAACCCGCACCACUUAUCGUGGUGGGAGACAGUGUCAGGCGGGCAGUUUGACUGGGGCGGUCGCCUCCUAAAAGGUAACGGAGGCGCUCAAAGGUUCCCUCAGAAUGGUUGGAAAUCAUUCAUAGAGUGUAAAGGCAUAAGGGAGCUUGACUGCGAGACCUACAAGUCGAGCAGGGUCGAAAGACGGACUUAGUGAUCCGGUGGUUCCGCAUGGAAGGGCCAUCGCUCAACGGAUAAAAGCUACCCCGGGGAUAACAGGCUUAUCUCCCCCAAGAGUUCACAUCGACGGGGAGGUUUGGCACCUCGAUGUCGGCUCAUCGCAUCCUGGGGCUGUAGUCGGUCCCAAGGGUUGGGCUGUUCGCCCAUUAAAGCGGUACGCGAGCUGGGUUCAGAACGUCGUGAGACAGUUCGGUCCCUAUCCGUCGUGGGCGUAGGAAAUUUGAGAGGAGCUGUCCUUAGUACGAGAGGACCGGGAUGGACAUACCUCUGGUGUACCAGUUGUCGUGCCAACGGCAUAGCUGGGUAGCUAUGUGUGGACGGGAUAAGUGCUGAAAGCAUCUAAGCAUGAAGCCCCCCUCAAGAUGAGAUUUCCCAACUUCGGUUAUAAGAUCCCUCAAAGAUGAUGAGGUUAAUAGGUUCGAGGUGGAAGCAUGGUGACAUGUGGAGCUGACGAAUACUAAUCGAUCGAAGACUUAAUCAAAA
rnacentral:rRNA from 2 species